rnacentral:snRNA from 1 species
AUCUUUGCGCUUGGGGCAAUGACGCAGCUAGUGAGGUUCCAACCGAGGCGCGUCUAUUGCUGGUUGAAAACUAUUUCCAAACCCCCUCUUAGGCCUGGGUUCAGCCUUGGCCUUCGAGAAUUUCUGGAAGGGCUCCCUUCGGGGUAAAGCC